rnacentral:rRNA from 1 species
UACGGAAGGCAGCAGGGGGAAUAUUGCACAAUGGGCGAAAGCCUGAUGCAGCUAUGCCGCGUGUAUGAAGAAGGCCUUAGGGUUGUAAAGUACUUUCAUCGGGGAGGAAAAAACAAAACUAAUAAUUUUAUUUCUUGACGUUACCCGAAAAAGAAGCACCGGCUAACUCCGUGCCAGCAGCCGCGGUAAUACGGAGGGUGCUAGCGUUAAUCAGAAUUACUGGGCGUAAAGAGCACGUAGGUUGGUUUUUUUAAGUCAGAUGUGAAAUCCCUGGGCUUAACCUAGGAACUGCAUUUUGAAACUGAAAUACUAGAGUAUCGUAGAGGGAGGUAGAAUUCUAGGUGUAGCGGUGAAAUGCGUAGAUAUCUGGAGGAAUACCUGUGGCGAAAGCGGCCUCCUAAACGAAUACUGACACUGAGGGUGCGAAAGCGUGGGGAGCAAACGAGGAUUAGAUACC